rnacentral:lncRNA from 1 species
UGUGUCUGAGCUCUGACUCUCCUUGUGUGGGUCUUUCUGUGGCUGUUGUGGGGGAUAGGGGUGAGAUGCCCAGGUUAAUGGAGUUGUGUACAUAGGAGGAUUAUGCUGCCUCUGCUGAGUCAUGCAGGUUGUCAGGGAAGUGGGGGAAAGCCGGCAGUCAUAGGCCUCACCCAGCUCCCAUGCAAACCAAAGAGCAGUUCUCAUGGAGCCUGUUUCCAGGUGGUGGGCAAGAUGGGCUUGAAAACUUGCCUCAGGCUACCUGCCUCUCAACUAUGGAAAAAAAGGGCUUGGUUCUUCCCCUGCCUGUGGAGUCUGCACAACAGAUUUGUGCCCUCCCAUGAGUUCUGGCCAGGAGGCUUCUCGCCCUGUUCAAAUUGUUACAAAGUUCAACUAUAGAUUUCUUUCUUCCUGUGGAGUUUCAACACCUGCUCCUCUGGCCACCCUCACAAUGGAUCCCUGUGGUGCCAAGCAGGAAUGGCCUGUUUGGGCACCCAGUGAGCUCCCAGGGCCUUUCUACUGCUUCCUCAAACCCUGUAUUUUGCUCAGCUCUCUAAAUGGAUUCAACUCCAGAGAAGACUAUCAAGUAGUUAGGAAAGAAAGUCAGUGAGAUGUCUCAGGCGUGACUCAGCUACGGAAACAAUAGCAAUCAGAGGACAUUUGGAGAUGAAGAAAAAAAAGAAACAAACUUCAAUACAAUGAGAAAUAUACCAGUACAUAGACCUGGAACCAAACCCAGAACUUCACUUCCCUGUGCCAGAAGGAUUCCAGUGAGCUUUUCCCACAGGCCCUACAGUCUUCUCCAGGUGAACCUCGGUCACUAUCUAUA